UAUUGGAAGGAUGGCAGCAGUUGG
rnacentral:misc_RNA from 1 species